AACGAACGCUGGCGGCAGGCCUAACACAUGCAAGUCGAACGCCCCGCAAGGGGAGUGGCAGACGGGUGAGUAACACGUGGGAACGUACCCUUUGGUUCGGAACAACUCCGGGAAACUGGAGCUAAUACCGAAUAAGCCCUACGGGGGAAAGAUUUAUCGCCGAAGGAUCGGCCCGCGUCGGAUUAGCUAGUUGGCGGGGUAAAAGCCUACCAAGGCGACGAUCCGUAGCUGAUCUGAAAGGAUGACCAGCCACACUUGGACUGAGACACGGCCCAGACUCCUACGGGAGGCAGCAGUGGGGAAUAUUGGACAAAGGGGGGAACCCUGAUCCAGCCAUGCCGCGUGUGUGAAGAAGGCCUUGUGGUUGUAAAGCACUUUAAGCGAGGAGGAGGCUCUAUUGGUUAAUACCCAGAAUGAGUGGACGUUACUCGCAGAAUAAGCACCGGCUAACUCUGUGCCAGCAGCCGCCGUAAUAC
rnacentral:rRNA from 1 species